rnacentral:lncRNA from 1 species
CCAGUAGAGCUGAAUGCUAAUGUUCUUUUUCCUAUUAUUAAAAUAGACAAAACCAGAUUUAACCGUGAAUGGUGCCAAUUUCCUCCCAAUUUCUUUUUUUUUCUUUUUCUACUGUUCUUCCUUUAUUUUCCAGAAGAGAGGGUCCGAGACUCCAAGAGAGGACGAGCCAACCUCUACAAAGAGAGAGAAUCAGUUAAGGAGGGAUCAGUUGAAGAAUCCAGAAUUCGCCAUGAAGAUAGAUGCCUGCAGAGACCACAUGUUGCACCAGAAGAUCCAGAGUGAACUUUGGGAUGUGAAUUGAACUAUGGGGGGUUGAAAUGCCUUUUUAAAAAAUGUAUACUCUUAUGUCAAAGGGGACUGCCCCCAAAUUGGCUUUUUGUCAACUUAGUAAUCAUUGGUUUUGUUCUCUUUUCCUUUUAUCCACAAAUUAUUGCAAUUUUUAAGUUGAUUAUGUUUCCAUGAUCCUUUUUGGGGAAACUGGUUUCCCAAUAGGAUCACAGGGGGAAUAUAUGUAAAUAGAGAUUUUGAGUGGGUGAAGAUUGGAUUUAGCAAUCUACUGAUUGUAACAAUGAAUAUACUUAGCUCUUCCUUUAUAGUGAAGGUACAAUCUAUUUUUAGAUUUUAACUACAAAAAGGUGUUAAGUAACUACAACAGGUGAAUUAACCACAAAGAGGUGUUAAGUAACCCAAAAAGAUACAAUCUAACCAGAGAAGGUGAGAAGUAAAGAAUGGGCAGUCCUGGAGAAAAGCAUAUGCUGUGAUUGGUAAAUGUGAAAAUUUAGAGGAGGUGACACAAGAGAAAAAGGUCUUGAAAUAGAGAAAGAAAAAAAAAGACUGAAGAGGACAGUCAGUCACCCAGGCUUGGAGUGAAGGAUCAGUCACUCGGAGCUGAAGUGAGGAUGGACAUUCAUUCAGAGAUUUGGGCACUGUCUCAGAGGAGUGACUGGCAGGCAGACACCCAGACUUCUUUAAGACUGUCUCCAUUGGUGAGUGAAAAGCUGACUUAGUGACCCCACCUUUCUGGAGACAUGAACCACAAAUUAAAUUUAAUAAGCCUUUGGACUUCAUCCCCUAGAAGUCCCUUAAUAUUUCCCAAAAUUCCCUUUUCCUGCAUAUCUGCAUUUUGCAUGGUUGUAUUCAAGUGGCUGUAGCUCCUUCCUCUUCUGCUCUUGGACCUUCAUCCAGGC